GACAAUACUCUCAAGCACAUGGGGUGACUCCUGUGGAUGCUCUGGUGCAGGACCAGGAGCUGGACUUCAUCAGCACUGUGGGUCCAUUCGUACUGAGCAUAUUCCGUGAUUCAGCAAUUCUGUUUCAUACUGCAGAAUAUCUGGGCAUGGAUCUCUUCAAAGAGAUAUCCUGGGAAAGAGUGGAGCAAUCAAGACCAUUUCCAGGGACACAGCCUGACCAGAAGUGCCAGCAGGCAAAACAAAAUUUUGCCAAGCAAUGGGCCUUUGAUGAAGCAAUACAUUUACAAUCAGGUCAGCCCAUUCCUGCUGAUUGGGGUACACUCUGGGACUACAGCUAAGGCCGUGAGGUCACAGCAGGCUCUGGGGUGACAGCAGGCUGAGGUCACAGCAGGCUCUGAGGUCACAGAGGUGCCAGGGCCCCGUGGUUGCACAGCACCACAGCCAGCGAGCAGUCAGUCCUUGGGCACAGCUGUUGCGGCAGCAGCGGCGGCGGCGGCGGCAGCGGUGCUGACAUUGGGACAGCGGUGGCAGCACAGCGGUGGCAGCAAGAGCUGCGGGACUGGCAGAGGGCAAGGCACCAUGGCCCUUGCUCUGCGCCUCUUCCUCCUGCUCCUCCUGGCAGUGGCCCUGCCUGCCAGGGCUGCCCAGGCAGCUCCGUGGCCAGCGCGGGGAGCAGGUGAGCCGGCGGCCUGGCUCCCCUUUCCCGGGACAGCGCUCCCUUCUCCCCAGGAAGCGCUGGGGAUGGUUUUGCGUAGGGCUUGAGGGAGGCUUUCCUCUGUGGGAGGGAGAGAGCCCACAGGGGCCCUGGGCAGCUCCAGCCACCCAUCCAGGGAUGUUGCACAGGCCAUGGAAAGGGUGUGCAGAGUGCCCAGAGCCAGCCCAGAGCUCCCCAGGCCCCUCUGCAGCUUUGGCCAUGUCCAUUCACAUGUGGAUCCUACGGCUUUACCCGACACAUACACAUGAAAUGGAACUAUUUUCCUCUAAGGUUUUCCAACAGUCCAGAGCCAUUACACAGGAGAUGAGAGAUCCCUGGAGGCAGACAGACUUCUGGAGCAGAUGCUGAGUGAUCUGGAGAGACGCCGUGGUGGGUGCAUUUCCCUCAGCCUUCUCCUGAGGCUCAGCAGCCGGGGGCUUUCUCUGCACAUCUGGACACGCCGUGCCCGGCACAGCGGGAAGGGAUCCAUGGCAGCCUCGCUGCCCCGCUGCUGCUGUCACACCCUGCAGGGCUGUUUCCCAGCCUGGCCUGGCUAAAGCUUCUCCCCAGUCUCUGGAGGAAGGCCGCUGGCAUCAGCUCACAGGGAGCUCACACUGCCCCAGGGGCCAUGCACACCCUGAGAUCCCCUGAAAUUUCCUGGUCUCCCCGCACAUGAGGAGGGGCAGCUGUUUGGAGAAGGGGGGCCCUGGCCAGUCCCAUAACCUGGCCUUUAUGCUGAUCCUUAUCAAUAUCUAUGACAAGCAUUGAGUCCUGAAGGUGGCACCUCCCUAGUGGGAAACAGCUCUUUCUGAUCCAGCUGUCCCUUUUCCUUUCUCCAGGGAUUGAAGAAGAGACUGGGCUGGCAGCUCCGAUUCCUAUAGGAAGCAGUGGUUCUGUUCCAGCCUCUGCUGCAGGAAGGGAGGAGAUGCCAGGCACAGUCACAGGAGGUAAUUGCUGUGCCUCCCCCCCCCCCCCCCCCCCCCCCCCCCCCCCCCCCCCCCCCCCCCCCCCCCCCCCCCCCCCCCCCCCCCCCCCCCCCCCCCCCCCCCCCCCCCCCCCCCCCCCCCCCCCCCCCCCCC
rnacentral:lncRNA from 1 species